GAUGAAGAACGUAGCGAAAUGCGAUACUUGGUGUGAAUUGCAGAAUCCCGUGAACCAUCGAGUCUUUGAACGCAAGUUGCGCCUCAAGCCAUUAGGUUGAGGGCACGUCUGCCUGGGCGUCACAUAUCGUUGCCUGAUGCCAGUUUCCUCGUGAUGGGUGACUGUGCAGGGCGAAUGAUGGCUUCCCGUGAGCAUUGUUGCCUCAUGGUUGGUUGAAAAUUGAGUCCUUGGUAGGGAGCGCCGUGAUAGAUGGUGGUUGAGUGACGAACGAGACCCAAUCAUGUGAGACCCCUACCGAAUUUGGCCUUCAUGACCCACAUGCGUCUUUGGAACGCUCAUGACGAGACCUCAGGUCAGGCGGGGUUACCCGCUGAGUUUAAGCAUAUCAAUAAGCGGAGGA
rnacentral:misc_RNA from 1 species